UAGGGGCGUGUAGGGGUGGCUAGCUAGGUUCCUAGAAGACCAGCGAGGAGAGAAAACUGUUCAAGACUAAGUUAGUUAGCUCGGUAUCGCUCUAAGCCAUUAACCAUUAUAGGUGGAAACAAGGAGAAGAGGGAGGGCGUACAAGGGAAAGGGGCUGGGGAUCACCGGCUCACGGCGGAGGCGGCCGGUAGUAGUAGCUCAUGGAAGCCCACAACGGCAGCAGUUGGUUGAGUGGCAUCUGGUGCUACGACAUCCUGACCUCCCUUCCUCCUCGUCUCCUACCUCGCAGCGUAGACGUCGACGGGCGGCAGCUCAGCUCCCAGCUGGCGGCGGUAGAGGUGGACGGGUAGUAGCUGGUAGAGGAGCGGCCGACGUGGACGUGCGGCAGGGGGGACGUGGGACAAACUAGAAGAGACAAACUCUAGGAUAGAGACUGGCUCAAUAAGUCACGGUUUUAAAAGUUGUUGAUCAUGACUUAAUAAUCGUCAAUCAUGACUAGAUAACUCACAACUUAUUUGGAAAGAAUUCGAAUAAAUAACAGCUAAGGUAGGAGAAAACUUUGUUUCUAAGACUGACAAGUUUUAAAUAGAGUAUAUAUAACAUAAGAACCAGGAAAAAAUAUUUUAUAAUUUUAAACCAGACAAACAUGUCCUGCGGCUUAUGUAGCCGCAUUAUUCUCGUCCUUUGAGCACUCUUAACAGGAUCUGCCCUUCUCUCUCCCUCCUCCUAUGCAGGUACGUGCGCCCACGAUGACCAAUUAGAGACGAUUAUGAGGUCACCUGACAGACGACUACGAUCUGACGCGGACCCUAGAUAAGAGGACAUAGAUUUGAGAAGGUAAGAAUGGACUUCUCUUUUGAUUCUACACGUUGACGUACAACAAAUACAAUACAGGUUUGACAAAAAUCAAUCGAAGAUUCUUAUACCAUAUUAUGUAACCUUUUAUAAUGUAACACGUCC
rnacentral:rRNA from 1 species